rnacentral:piRNA from 1 species
UAAGCACACAAUCAUCGACAGAUACAGC